CGGGACCUAUGGGAGGCAGCAGUGGGGAAUAUUGGGCAAUGAGCGCAAGCCUGACCCAGCAACGCCGCGUGAAGGAAGAAGGCUUUCGGGUUGUAAACUUCUUUUCUCAGGGACGAAGAAAGUGACGGUACCUGAGGAAUAAGCCACGGCUAACUACGUGCCAGCAGCCGCGGUAAUACGUAGGUGGCAAGCGUUAUCCGGAUUUACUGGGUGUAAAGGGCGUGUAGGCGGGGAAGCAAGUCAGAUGUGAAAACCACGGGCU
rnacentral:rRNA from 1 species